UCCAGACUCCUACGGGAGGCAGCAGUGGGGGAUAUUGCACAAUGGGGGGAACCCUGAUGUAGCGACGCCGCGUGAGUGAAGAAGUAUUUCGGUAUGUAAAGCUCUAUCAGCAGGGAAGAAAAUGACGGUACCUGACUAAGAAGCCCCGGCUAACUACGUGCCAGCAGCCGCGGUAAUACGUAGGGGGCAAGCGUUAUCCGGAUUUACUGGGUGUAAAGGGAGCGUAGACGGCAAUGCAAGUCUGGAGUGAAAGCCCAAGGCCCAACCAUGGGACUGCUCUGGAAACUGUGUAGCGUGAGUGCAGGAGGGGUAAGCGGAAUUCCUAGUGUAGCGGUGAAAUGCGUAGAUAUCAGGAGGAACACCGGCGGCGAAGGCGGCCUGCUGGACCGCGACUGACGUUGAGGCUCGAAAGCGUGGGGAGCGAACAGGAUUAGAUACCCGAGUA
rnacentral:rRNA from 1 species